rnacentral:lncRNA from 1 species
CUCUUGGCAUCUCUACCAGUUGUCUGUCAACACUAUGCCUCGCUGGCUUGUGCUCAUGCAUGUAAUACGAGUUACCAUUUAAGGUUCUUGGCAUCUCUAUCAUUCGUCUGUCAAGACUAUUUUCAUGCUCAUGCAUGUAAUACAAGUUACCAUGUAAGGCUCUUGGCACCUCUACCUUUUGUCUGUCAAGACUAUGCCUCGCUUGUUCAUGCUCAUACAUGUAAUACAAGUUAUCAUUUAUGGUUCUUGGCACCCCUACCACUUGUCUGUCAAGACUAUGCCUCACUUGUUCAUGCUCAUGCUUGUGCUCAUGCAUGUAAGGCAAGUUACCAUUCAAGGUUCUCGGCACCUCUACCAAUUGUC